GCGGGGAUAGCUCAGUUGGGAGAGCGUCAGACUGAAGAUCUGAAGGCCGUGUGUUCGAUCCACACUCACCGCA
rnacentral:tRNA from 1 species